GCGGGAGUAGCUCAGCUGGAUAGAGCAUCGGUCUUCUAAACCGAGGGUCCUGGGUUCGAAUCCCAGCUUCCGUGCCA
rnacentral:tRNA from 2 species